rnacentral:rRNA from 1 species
CAAUAGCGUAUAUUUAAGUUGUUGCAGUUAAAAAGCUCGUAGUUGGGUUUCGGUUAAGAGCGACCGGUCCGCCGUUUGGUGUGCACUGGUUGGUUUUAACUUCCUGUAGAGGACGUGCUCUGGGUUUAACGACCUGGACUCGGAGUCUACGUGGUUACUUUGAAAAAAUUAGAGUGUUCAAAGCGGGCUUACGCUUGAAUAUUUCAGCAUGGAAUAACACUAUAGGACUCCUGUCCUAUUUCGUUGGUCUCGGGACGGGAGUAAUGAUUAAGAGGAACAGUUGGGGGCAUUCGUAUUUCAUUGUCAGAGGUGAAAUUCUUGGAUUUAUGAAAGACGAACUUCUGCGAAAGCAUUUGCCAAGGAUGUUUUCAUUAA